rnacentral:tRNA from 1 species
GGUGUGGUGGCUCGACAGGUAAGGCGCCGGCCUCAUAAGCCGGAGGGCGAAAGUCCUAUGUAGGUUCGAAUCCUACUCACACCU